rnacentral:rRNA from 1 species
GUGGGGAAUCUUAGACAAUGGGCGCAAGCCUGAUCUAGCCAUGCCGCGUGAGCGAUGAAGGCCUUAGGGUUGUAAAGCUCUUUCAGUGGGGAAGAUAAUGACUGUACCCACAGAAGAAGCCCCGGCUAACUCCGUGCCAGCAGCCGCGGUAAUACGGAGGGGGCUAGCGUUGUUCGGAAUUACUGGGCGUAAAGCGCACGUAGGCGGACUGGAAAGUCAGGGGUGAAAUCCCGGGGCUCAACCCCGGAACUGCCUUUGAAACUCCCAGUCUUGAGGUCGAGAGAGGUGAGUGGAAUUCCGAGUGUAGAGGUGAAAUUCGUAGAUAUUCGGAGGAACACCAGUGGCGAAGGCGGCUCACUGGCUCGAUACUGACGCUGAGGUGCGAAAGCGUGGGGAGCAAACAGGAUUAGAAACCCCAGUAGUCC